AUCAGCGUUGUUAUGAAAAACCUAAAAUUGAACCCUAAUCUGAAAACGAAAAUCAAAAACUAAAAUUGAACCCUAAUCUGAAAACGAAAAUAAAAAACGAAAAUAAAAAUUGAACACACCAUACCGAAACCACCGGAACCACGACGCCGAGCAACCACCGGAACCACGACGCGACGGGGAGAUGCUGAACCCCCGGCCGACCAAGUAUAUAUCUUUCAGUGACAGGCCGCGCGAGAAUUGAACGGGAUGGGGGAGAUGAGGCGAGAACACCACACACCGGCGAAGACAGCGACGCAGGGCUGAGCAACGCUUGGGUUCGACGGCGACGCAGGGCUGAGUUCGACGGCGACGCAGGGCUGAGUUCGACGGCUGAGUUCGACGGCUUGCUUGGAUAUUUGUUUAAGGGAAAAAGCUUGGAGCUAGCAGAGAAGGAACAACGUACGUUUGAGCCCGCUCGUUUGAGCGCGGUUUGUUGCAACCUAGGAAAGUAAAAAAUUUUGAAACGCGGACUUGUUGCAGCGGGCAAUAACAUGUACGCUGCAAUAAAGUUGGGUUGUUGCUGCGGGAUUUUAUUUUGUACGCUGCAACAAACACAUUUGCUGCGAACAACUAAAAUGUACGCUGCGAUAGCCCUUUAAAGGGUUUGACCCGCGUUGACCGACUGGUUGUUGAAGCGUAUUUAUACAUGUACGCUGCAACAAGGGGGCUGCAACAGGGGUUUUUUCUACUAGUGAAUCUUUCUGAAUUGUUGGUGGCAGACUGGCAGUUAAAUAGGUUCCGAUUCCGAAUUAGUAAAAACUCGAGUCGGUUCAGUCAGUUUAAGAUAAUAUUUUUUUCUGGGUUUACUUUGUUGCGUUUGUUCUGCUAUUCCUCUUCAAUUUGACGUCUAAUUGGUUGUUGUUUAACCGUGUGCUGCCCCGUUUAAGCUCAACACAGACGCUGCUAUCAAGGAGGGAGUGCUUAAAAUGGGCGUGCAACAACAAUUUAAAAACUGGAUGUUGCAAACAACCAGAUACCGAGUUUUUAGCUCAGGUUUCUAUGGUUUCAAGGCUAAAACAUGACAAUUUUGUUGAAUUGCUUGGUUAUUGUGUUGAUGGCAACCUACGCAUUCUUGCCUAUGAGUUUGCAUCAAAUGGAUCUCUGCAUAACAUCCUUCACGGUCUACUUAGUUAUCUCCAAGGAGCUGAAUUGGAAGAAGGAAGGAAGCCAG